rnacentral:misc_RNA from 1 species
AACGCACAUUGCGCCCACCAGUAUUCUGAUGGGCAUGCCUGUCCGAGCGUCAUUUCAACCCUCAAGCCGUGGUUGCUUGGUGUUGGGGCCCUGCCGGCUUACGCGCAGGCCCCGAAAGCCAGUGGCGGGCGCGCCGCGACCCCGAGCGUAGUAGUUUACUGUUCUCGCUUAGGGUGUCCGGCGCUGUUUCCCGGCCGUUAAACAGCUCCUCUGGAGACUAUCACAAGGUUGACCUCGGAUCAGGUAGGAAUACCCGCUGAACUUAA